rnacentral:rRNA from 1 species
AACGAACGCUGGCGGCAUGGAUUAGGCAUGCAAGUUGAACGAACCACUUCGGUGGAGAGUAGCGGAAGGGUGAGGAACGCGUGAGUAAUCUGCCCCUCAGUUGGGAAUAACAGUUGGAAACGGCUGCUAAUACCGAAUGUGGCUUAAGUUCCGCAUGGGACUUCGGCUAAAGAUUUAUCGCUGAGGGAUGAGCUCGCGUCCCAUUAGGUAGUUGGUGAGGUAACGGCUCACCAAGCCGACGAUGGGUAGCUGGUCUGAGAGGAUGGUCAGCCACACUGGGACUGAGACACUGCCCAGACUCCUACGGGAGGCUGCAGUCGAGAAUCUUGGGCAAUGCGCGAAAGCGUGACCCAGCAAUGCCGCGUGUAUGAUGAAGGCCCUCGGGUCGUAAAAUACUGUCUCCCGUGACGAAAUUUGACGGUAGCGGGGAAGGAAGCCACGGCUAACUACGUG